rnacentral:rRNA from 1 species
GGGGAAUUUUGGACAAUGGGCGCAAGCCUGAUCCAGCCAUGCCGCGUGAGUGAAGAAGGCCCUCGGGUUGUAAAGCUCUUUUGUCCGGAAAGAAAAGCAUUCGGUGAAUACCCGGAUGUUCUGACGGUACCGGAUGAAUAAGCACCGGCUAACUCCGUGCCAGCAGCCGCUGUAAUACGGAGGGUGCAAGCGUUAUCCGGAUUCACUGGGCUUAAUGGGUGCGUAGGUGGGUAUGUAAGUGAGUGGUGAAAUCCCCGAGCUUAACUUGGGAACUGUCAUUGAUACUAUAUAUCUUGAAUACCGUAGAGGUAAGCGGAAUAUGUCAUGUAGCGGUGAAAUGCUUAGAUAUGACAUGGAACACCAAUUGCGAAGGCAGCUUACUAUGCGGUGAUUGACACUGAGGAACGAAAGCGUGGGUAGCAA